CCUACGGGUGGCAGCAGUGAGGAAUAUUGGUCAAUGGGCGGAAGCCUGAACCAGCCAAGUAGCGUGCGGGAUGAAGGCCCUACGGGUCGUAAACCUCUUUUGCACGGGGAUAACACCCUCCACUUGUGGCGGUCUGCAGGUUCCGUGCGAAUAAGGGCCGGCUAAUUCCGUGCCAGCAGCCGCGGGAAUACGGAAGGCCCGAGCGUUAUCCGGAUUCAUUGGGGUUAAAGGGAGCGUAGGCGGGCGUUCAAGUCAGCGGUAAAAGCGCGCGGCUCAACCGCGCCCCGGAGUUGAAACUGGGCGCCUUGAGUUCACAACAGGCAGGCGGAAUGCGUGGUGUAGCGGUGAAAUGCAUAGAUAUCACGAGGAACCCCGAUUGCGAAGGCAGCCUGCCGGGGUGCGACUGACGCUGAGGCUCGAAGGUGCGGGUAUCAAACAGGAUUAGAUACCCUUGUAGUC
rnacentral:rRNA from 1 species